rnacentral:rRNA from 1 species
CCUACGGGUGGCAGCAGGGGGGAAUAUUGCGCAAUGGGCGAAAGCCUGACGCAGCGACGCCGCGUGAGGGAUGAAGGUCUUCGGAUCGGACACCUCUGUCAGCAGGGAAGAACGGUCACUGUGCUAAUCAGCAGUGAAUUGACGGUACCCGCAAAGGAAGCACCGGCUAACUCAGUGCCAGCAGCCGCGGUAAUACGGAGGGUGCGGGCGUUAAUCGGAAUUACUGGGCGUAAGGCGCUCGUAGGCGGUAUGGCAAGUCAAGGGGGAAAUCCCCGCGCUCAACGUGGGAACUGCCUUUGAAACUGGCAAACUGGAGUGUGUGAGAGGAUAGUGGAAUUCCAGGUGUAGGAGUGAAAUCCGUAGAUAUCUGGAGGAACAUCAGUGGCGAAGGCGACUAUCUGGCACAUAACUGACGCUGAGGAGCGAAAGCGUGGGUAGCAAACAGGAUUAGAUACCCGGGUAGUC